GUCAUUAUGUAUGUGUCACUAUGGGGCGCCGCUGUCACAACUUUUAGGGAGCAUAUGAGCUUAUAUGAUAUUACACACUCUGUCAUGGUGGACACCAUGGUUAGUUCCAAGUUAUAGUUUGACUUGAACAUUUACACCAGCCAAGCUUUCAUCAACAUGUGCAGCUGCUGAGGAUUUCCCACAUGUCGAGACAAUGGGAGAGAUUCAAAAGCAAGAACUUGUGUCAAUUGGGGGAUCUUUGCACGCACCUUUCCAAGUCCACCGACCAGAUCCAUGAAGCUGACGAAAAUCCCUAAGAAAGGUGCAGCCUCUGGCCCUAGAGGCGUCCGUCUCCGCUCACAGUCAACUCAUCUUACAUUUCCUUAAGCAUUAUCGACACUGUCAUUAACAAAAAAAAAAUUAACGUAUGAUAGACUAAUUGGCGGUGGAGUGUAAGAGCUCCCAAGAUGCUUCAAAGAACUUGCUGGCAAGCAGUGCCUCUUUUAGAUUCGAGUGACACCCUACAAUUUCACUCCCCAGUCCCCACUACCGGACCUUCACAGUGUCUACUGGAGAUGUGGAUGUGAAGACCAUUCAGGGGUAAGCUAAGCUUUGUUUUUUUUUUAAUAUAAAUUGUAAGCUAAGCUUUGUUGAGAUCUGUGUUUAAAAAGGCGAGCGCCUUUUGCGCCAAGGGGCAAGGCGAACUAAGGCGACAGCCCUACCGCCAUGGACCUCCAAGGCGAGGGUAUGUUCCGUAAGGCGCUCGCCAAGUGCGCAUUGGUCAUAAGGCGGUGCCUUAAAAGGCAACACAAAGGCACGCCAUGGAGACGAUGACGUUAACCGAUACUAAACCACGUAGAAACCCUAACAUAAUAAAUGGACCAACCUUUAACCAAACUUAAAACCAAACGUCUAAAAACUUAUCAAAACCGUAGCUUGCUCUUUUAGAAAAGCAAAGUUAAAAACUUAACAAAACAUGGAUCUCAUGGACUGUGUUUUGCAUAAGGUUAGUAUGUACUAUCUUCUCUAAUCUCAAGGGGCUUUCUUGUGAUAAAAACUAUUUAAUAAAAGAUAAAAUCAUCACGUGAAUGAAAUUUGUAUAUUACGCACGGAUACAUAACAAGACAUAACUAACGUAUUCUUCAAGUGGGUCUUCAAGGCGAGCGCUUUCUUGCGCCAUGGCGCAAGGCGUAAGGCACACACCUCAUCGCCUUGGAUCGCCAUGCACCAUUUAAAACACAGUUUGAGAUAAUAACCUGGAUGGAGGUGAUCUAGAAAAAAAACUUCAUGUUCGUAUCAGGGUGAAAGUAACAACAGAGCUCCACAAGUGGUAAGCCAAAGUGAGCAACCACCUGCUUCUGCAAGCGAUCCGAUAGAUGCGGCUACAAAAGUGAUGGCAGUGGAUCAACAACACCACCCAGCUUUGGAGGCCAAGAGAAGAGUUGCAAACGCUACCUUGAGUGAUAGUUGGAAGUGUAGUAAGCCGUAGUUCCCACUAAGAUUUAUGUUCGUGUAUUACAAACUGAACAUUAACUAUUUCCCUUUUGUUUUUAAUUUCCAUGUUUGGUUUUUUGUUUUUAAAUUUGUUGCAACCAAGCUCCAACUUGGCAGCAAUUUAUAUUCAUUUUUAAUAAAGGACCCUGGAUGGCUGUUUCCACAUAAA